AUGCAAGCAUUGUUGCAGCUUGGCCUCUGCCUCAUAUUGCUUGCAGCACAAUAUGCCCCAGCUGGAAGUGCGGUUCCUAGUUCACACUGCCGAAGACAGUGUGGGAAUGUCGAGAUACCAUACCCAUUUGGUAUAGACCCGGGCUGUUCGCUCGGAGACGGCUUCCACCUCGACUGCAAGGUCCACGAUGGCAUAGAGAGGCCAUUCAGGAGUGUAUUUGAGGUCCUCGACAUCUCCUUGAAGCAAGGGACAACCCGAGUGCUCAAUUUCAUCGUGGGGUAUUGCUACAACACCUCCACUGGGAGCAUGGAGUAUUUUGGCCGAUACGGGGGGCUCAAUGAAGGCGUUUCUUCUCCAUACCGCCUCUCCGAUGUCCAGAACAGGUUCAUGGUCAUCGGCUGCAACGCCCUGGCCUCCAUCUCGGACCGUGACGGCACAGGCUACGAAGGCUAUGGAGCCGCGGCGUGCCGCAACCAGUCGGACCUAGUUGAUGGGUCUUGCUCUGGUAUCGGAUGCUCCCAGACAACGAUACCGAAGAGGAUGUACUUCUACGCAACAACCUUUUUUAGCAUGGUCAACAAUAGUCAGAUAUGGAAGUUCAAUCGGUGCAGCUAUGCAGUGUUGAUGGAAACAGCGUCAUUCAGGUUCAGCACUAAGUACAUAACCACCAACAAGUUCAAUGGCACAAAUGAUGGGCGGGUGCCUGUGGUGCUCGACUGGGCUGUGAGAGAUAUCAAGUCAUGUGAUGCUGCAAAACAGAAUAAGACCGACACUUAUGCAUGCCUCAGUAGCAAUAGCAAGUGUGUGAAUUCCAGCAAUGACCAAGGUACAUGUGCAAUUGCACCAAUGGCUAUGAAGGAAACCCUUAUCUUCCUGGUGGAUGCAAAGAUAUUAAUGAAUGCGAUCACAACCCAUGCCCUUCAGAUGGUGUUUGUCGCAAUAUCGCUGGAGAAUACCGAUGUUCUUGUCGAGUUGGAAAAAAAUAUGCCAAAGAAAGCAAUACAUGCAACCCAAAUGCAGGCUUCAUAAUAGGACUUACAAUGGGAUUAUUUGGUCUGAUGGUUAUCAUCAUGAUUUCCGUCUUCUGGGGACAAAUGACAAUUCAAAAGAGAAAAUUGAAUAAAGUUAAGCAGGAGUAUUUUCGCGAGCAUGGAGGCUUGCUUUUGUUUGAUAGGAUGAGAUCAGAGAAAGGUCUUUCUUUCAAUGUAUUUUCAGAAGCUGAACUCAGACAUGCCACUGAUAACUUUGACAUUAGUAGAAUACUUGGAAAAGGAGGCCAUGGAACAGUCUAUAAAGGGAUAAUAAAGAGCAGCAUGCCAGUUGCAGUUAAAAGAUGUGGAAUAGUUGAUGAAAGACAGAAGAAGGAAUUUGGGAAAGAUAUGCUCAUUUUAUCGCAAAUCAAUCACAAGAACAUUGUUAAACUCUUGGGUUGCUGCCUUGAGGUGGAAGUUCCUAUUCUAGUCUAUGAGUUUGUCCGAAAUGGUACAUUGUUUGAGCUUAUCCAUGGCAAGAACCAGGCAUUGCAAAUUUCCUUCAGCACUCUCUUAAGGAUCGCUCAUGAAGCAGCCGAAGGUCUCAGCUUCCUACAUUCAUACGCGUCUCCCCCAAUUAUUCAUGGUGAUGUGAAAACUUCCAACAUCUUGCUUGAUGAUAACUAUAUGGCCAAAGUGUCAGACUUUGGAGCCUCCAUAUUAGCCCCAUCUGACAAAGAGCAGUUUGUUACAAUGGUUCAAGGUACAUGUGGCUACCUUGAUCCUGAAUACAUGCAAACAUGCCAGUUAACAGACAAAAGCGACGUGUACAGUUUUGGAGUUAUCCUUUUAGAGAUCCUCACCGGCCAGUUGCCACUAAAGCUCGAGGGGACUGAGAAGCCAAGAAGCUUGUCAUUGAUUUUCCUUUCUGCUAUGAGGGAGAAUAAUCUAGAAGAUGUGUUGGUGAGCCAAGUGAAAGGUCAAGCAAGUAUGGAGUUGCUGCGAGGACUUGCAGACCUGGCUAAGAAAUGCCUAGAAAUGUGUGGUGACAACAGACCAUCCAUGAAAGAUGUCGCCGAUGAGCUAAAUAGAUUGAGAAAACUUUCACUACAUCCUUGGGUACAACUUGAGAUGGAGAUGGACAAAGAAAAUCUUCUUGGGGGAGAAUCUACUAGUGGUUAUGAAAUAGAAUUAAGUGGGUAUCCAGUGGACCAAAGUGAGAACCAUCCCAUAAACCCAGGAAGUUCCUAUUAUGCAAGAUGA
rnacentral:rRNA from 1 species